GGAGAAAGUAUUGCAUGAUGAAAUUGACAUUGCAUAAAAUAUAGAAAUCAACGACAACGGAAGCCCGCAAUGAACGGUGUUUUAAUCUUUUGCUGACGACAACUUCCAAAUCUACUUAGGACCAGGAUUUUUUAAGGGAACAAGAAAUCUUCAUAGGGAUACAUAGAUUGGACAUUUUCUAAAUGGAUCCACAGAACUCUGUGUCUCACCUGUAGUUGCUGCUGUUAGUGUAAAAGUGUGAUGUUGACUAUAAAAAUUUCAGCAACAGAAUAAAGAAUUCCAAGAGUCUAAUACGGUUUAUUAAACAGGAUUUUAUCAUUGAAUAAACAUCCUACAAGAAUAUAACAUACAAAUAAGUAAUUGUGUGCAGGGAAGAACAUUUAAAAAAAACUGUAAGAGACAUACAGUGGUGUAUGUUUAAAGAGACCGAAAGAACCUGUAAUAACUUGCCAUGAGUGUAUAUUUUCCAAACCAGAAGCUCAUUCAUAAUAAUAUACAAUUUAAAUUAAAAUUAUUGUAUGAACAUAACAGAUAAUGUCUCAAAAGAGAAAAUUUAGUUUUAAAUGAAACAUUUAAGUACAAAAUAUUGAAAUAGUCCUUUCCAUGUUGUGGGACAUGUAGAAAGUUUAUGCUUUCACCAUUCAUGUAGCUCCAUAUAGAGGAAUGGGUCCCUGUCCCCCUCCCCCCCAAAAAACCGCAUUCGUAUCCGACAGCAAUCAAUCGAUAAAAAACACCAAACAAAAAUCAAAAGGGAAACAUACCAUCGACACUUGAUACAUGUAGCAUGCUCUGCAUUGUGAAUGAAAACUAAAUCAACAAAGAUUUUUUUAUGUUUUUUUUACAUGAGACAAGCAAUGAGAAGGUUCCUACCUUGG